CUGGAUUCACAUCUUGUUGGCUAGGAUCAAGUGCAUUAUCUGGUCUUAUCAGUUUAAUAUCUGAUAUGUCACCUAUCCAGGAACCACAUAUGGAAUGGAUUUUUAUUUUGCUUCCGUUGCCCUUGACGGGUGACUGAUAAACCUGUUUCUGCAGGAUCAGUGCACCUCAUGUACUGGAAUGUUUGACUUUUG